UACAGAGGGGGCAAGCGUUGUUCGGAAUUACUGGGCGUAAAGGGCGCGUAGGCGGCCUGCUAAGUCGAACGUGAAAUCCCCGAGCUCAACUCGGGAACUGCGUCCGAUACUGGUUGGCUUGAAUCCGGGAGAGGGAUGCGGAAUUCCAGGUGUAGCGGUGAAAUGCGUAGAUAUCUGGAGGAAUACCGGUGGCGAAGGCGGCAUCCUGGACCGGCAUUGACGCUGAAGCGCGAAAGCUAGGGGAGCAAACGGGG
rnacentral:rRNA from 1 species